GUGCCAGCCGCCGCGGUAAUACGAACUGUGCGAACGUUAUUCGGAAUCACUGGGCUUAAAGGGUGCGUAGGCGGCUGCCUAAGUCAGGUGUGAAAUCUCUCGGCUCAACCGGGAAACUGCGCUUGAUACUGGGCGGCUCGAGUGAGGUAGGGGUGUGUGGAACUUCCGGUGGAGCGGUGAAAUGUGUAGAUAUCGGAAGGAACGCCAGCAGCGAAAGCGGCACACUGGGCCUUUUCUGACGCUGAGGCACGAAAGCCAGGGGAGCGAACGGGAUUAGAUACCCCAGUAGUCC
rnacentral:rRNA from 1 species